UCAGGAUGAGCGCUGGCGGCGUGCCUAAUACAUGCAAGUCGAGCGAACAGAUAAGGAGCUUGCUCCUUUGACGUUAGCGGCGGACGGGUGAGUAACACGUGGGUAACCUACCUAUAAGACUGGAAUAACUCCGGGAAACCGGGGCUAAUGCCGGAUAACAUGUUGAACCGCAUGGUUCUACAGUGAAAGACGGUCUUGCUGUCACUUAUAGAUGGACCCGCGCCGUAUUAGCUAGUUGGUGGGGUAACGGCCUACCAAGGCGACGAUACGUAGCCGACCUGAGAGGGUGAUCGGCCACACUGGAACUGAGACACGGUNCUNNCUCNUACGGGAGGCAGCAGUAGGGAAUCUUCCGCAAUGGGCGAAAGCCCGACGGAGCAAC
rnacentral:rRNA from 1 species